rnacentral:misc_RNA from 1 species
UUGACUUAUUUUAUAAUACUCAGACAACACGAUUAACCAGAGUGUUUGGUUCUCCGGCAGGCACUAACCAGCUAAAGCCGGCAGCUAGAGGCAGGCCUACCAAAGCAACAAAGUAUGUAAACAUAGGGUGGGAGAUCUACCCAAAGGGCAGGUUCUCUGUAAUGAUCCUUCCGCAGGUUCCAAUGGCUUGCAAGCACUCACGCUUACAUCCGAUCAUAUCUCAACCCAAAGGGCCACCUCUAUUUGAUCUGUGGACUCUGAAGAGCCGCUGGUAUUACAUUGUAAAUUCCAGCAAGAUAGAGAUGUUGCCUGCAGAGCAGACUGGCAAGACAACCGCAGGCAAACCAAUACCUACGGAAA